CAACAAAAGGUGCUCAUAUACUGAAAGUGGAACAGUACAGGGAAGAUCACUGUGGCCUGUGUGCAAGGAUGAUGUGCAAACUCAUGAAGCAUUUCAUAUUUUU